rnacentral:lncRNA from 1 species
UGAAGAGGUACCUUCUGCCGUGGUUUCGGAAUUAAAUCAUUGAUCCCAGAAGAAAGGGACCACCACAGUGCUACGGAAAACAGGAAUUGUGAGAAGUUAUGGGAUCCAUUUUAGCUUGAUUUACUCACAGACUCCUUAAGCACACUUCAUAAGAUGAGGAAACUGAGACACUGGAAGAGGAAGUAACUUGCCCAAUGUCACUCAGCCAGGAAGAGGUGGAACCCAGCAUUGAAAUCCAGACAGUCUAACUCCAAAACAAAUAAACAAUACCACCACACUUUUAUCUUCUAGGCUAUACAUUUCUAAUGGCCAAUGAAGAAAACAAACUGAAAACAAAAUUCCUCCUUCCUGCUCUUGCUUAUUCCUAAUGGCUGUUCUUUUUAGCUCAUGUAGAAAAUAAAGUAGUAACAUGUUUCAGUACUUAUUGUAGCUCUAGUAAUUUCAGCUUGUAAAUUUGCUUUGGAAACCUUAGUGUUUAAAUAUUAAUCAAACAGAUGCAACUUUCCAAGCAACUGUUGUCAGAGAAAGAUCAACAUUCGUUAGAUUUUUACUUACUGACAAGUUAAAAAUAAGAUUAUGGUAGCUUUCCUACCUCCUGAAAAUCUGUUGCUCUUUAAGCCCCUCGUCAGAUUCAAAAGAAAUAUUUUGCACUCAACUUUAAAGCAGAGAUAUAUAAAAAUCAGCAAAUAAAUGAAAAAGUGAUUAAAUUCUUUAUUAAAGAUUUACCAAAAAAUAAUCCUUUAACUAUGUAAUCCUACAAUUGUUUUCAAAUACAAAUGAUUUUCCCCAUGUUUAGAUGUAUGUAUUUAAUGAAUACAACUCAGUAUAAUGAUCUUCCUAAAAAUGCCCCUUUUGUUUCCUUUUCUGAGACUUCUAAUGUAUUAAAAAAUAUAUAAUGCCAAAAAGCUUUUAUUAAAUUGUGAAAAAUUUAAAAUUUCCACACUUGUUAAAGAAAUACUUUUAAGCACACACAUGUGCAGUGAUUUGCUUGUAUUUUUCCCUUGAUGGUAACGGGAUUUAGA